rnacentral:rRNA from 1 species
UACGUAGGGUGCAAGCGUUGUCCGGAAUCAUUGGGCGUAAAGCGCGCGUAGGCGGCCCGAUAAGUCCGCUGUAAAAGUCAACGGCUCAACUGUUGAAAGCCGGUGGAUACUGUCGGGCUAGAGUACGGAAGAGGCAAGUGGAAUCCUGGUGUAGCGGUGGAAUGCGCAGAUAUCAGGAGGAACACCUAUAGCGAAGGCAGCUUGCUGGGACGUUACUGACGCUAAGGCGCGAAAGCGUGGGGAGCGAACAGG